CUCAGUGGAGCUGGGUCAUCUCAGGCCUUGGCUCCUUGAACUUUUGGCCGCCAUGUGCUUCCCGAAGGUCCUCUCUGAUGACAUGAAGAAGCUGAAGGCCCGAAUGGUAAUGCUCCUCCCUACUUCUGCUCAGGGGUUGGGGGCCUGGGUCUCAGCGUGUGACACUGAGGACACUGUGGGACACCUGGGACCCUGGAGGGACAAGGAUCCGGCCCUUUGGUGCCAACUCUGCCUCUCUUCACAGCACCAGGCCAUAGAAAGAUUUUAUGAUAAAAUGCAAAAUGCAGAAUCAGGACGUGGACAGGUGGGUGGAUUUCCCCUCAGGCACCAGGUCACAUGUCCCCGCCCCCAGGCACUCCACCCUGUGUGGGGCUCAGGGUGAGAAGGAUGAAGAGGGACCCACAGGCUCCCUCACCCCUUACCGUGGGCAAAUGCUUGCACCUGGGUGGCAGUGAGUGGGCGGGUGGGGGAUCUGGACGCCCGGGGAGACUGAGGGAGGCAUCCAAGCCCCAGGGCUCCUUGAGGAAACAACAGGGGUGCCAGACGUGGCCCGGGCCCCUGGCUGGGCCCAGUUCGGGGUGUGUGGGAGCUGAGGACUCACUGGGCUUGAGGACUGACUGAUGUGGGGUGCAGAGGAGGCUUGGGCCUGGAACCGAGUGCUUUGUUCCUAACAGGUGAUGUCGAGCCUGGCAGAGCUGGAGGACGACUUCAAAGAGGGCUACCUGGAGACAGUGGCGGCUUAUUAUGAGGAGCAGCACCCAGAGCUCACUCCUCUACUUG
rnacentral:lncRNA from 1 species